UCCGUAGGGACCAAGCGUUGUCCGGAAUCAUUGGGCGUAAAGCGCGUGUAGGCGGCUUGUUAAGUCUUGCGUGAAAUCUCGGGGCUCAACCCCGAGCGGUCGUGAGAAACUGGCAGGCUAGAGUGCGGGAGAGGAGAGUGGAAUUCCUGGUGUAGCGGUGAAAUGCGCAGAUAUCAGGAAGAACACCCGUGGCGAAGGCGGCUCUCUGGAACGCAACUGACGCUGAGACGCGAAAGCGUGGGGAGCAAACAGG
rnacentral:rRNA from 1 species